rnacentral:rRNA from 1 species
CCCGAUCUCGUCUGAUCUCGGAAGCUAAGCAGGGACGGGCUUGGUUAGUACCUGGAUGGGAGACCUCCUGGGAAUACCAGGUGUUGUAGGCU